UACAGAGGUCUCAAGCGUUGUUCGGAUUCAUUGGGCGUAAAGGGUGCGUAGGCGGCGUGGUAAGUCGGGUGUGAAAUCUCGGAGCUUAACUCCGAAACUGCAUUCGAUACUGCCGUGCUUGAGGACUGGAGAGGAGACUGGAAUUUACGGUGUAGCGGUGAAAUGCGUAGAUAUCGUAAGGAAGACCAGUGGCGAAGGCGGGUCUCUGGACAGUUCCUGACGCUGAGGCACGAAGGCCAGGGGGAGCAAACGGG
rnacentral:rRNA from 1 species